rnacentral:lncRNA from 1 species
CCCCGCCCCACACACACAAGUAAUUGGUACAGGAUGCCCAAAGUUCAUUACGCCUUCAAUUUUACGAGAUGAUGGGCUCCUUGCUAAUCUGCUUUCCUCACUGGUCAUGGAACCGUUUGACGUACAGGUGAUCCAGAUUGGUAAGCAUGAGUUGCACGUAUUCUCCUGUAGCAUAUGCGCGUGCGGGCAUGUGCAAAAACAGCCUUGUUAUAGGUUUUGCGGCCAGCAUUACGGCACUG